rnacentral:rRNA from 1 species
UUGGUUAAGUUAGAAAGGGCGCACGGUGGAUGCCUUGGCACUAGGAGCCGAAGAAGGACGGGACUAACACCGAUAUGCUUUGGGGAGCUGUACGUAAGCGUUGAUCCAGAGAUUUCCGAAUGGGGGAACCCACUAUCUUUAGUCGGAUAGUAUCCUUACGUGAAUACAUAGCGUGAGGAAGGCAGACCCAGGGAACUGAAACAUCUAAGUACCUGGAGGAAGAGAAAGAAAAAUCGAUUUCCUGAGUAGCGGCGAGCGAAACGGAAAGAGCCCAAACCAAGAAGCUUGCUUCUUGGGGUUGUAGGACACUCUAUACGGAGUUACAAAAGAAAGUUAUAAAUGAAGCGGUCUGGAAAGGCCCGCCAAAGACGGUAACAGCCCGGUAGUUGAAAUAGCUUUCCCUCCAGAGUGGAUCCUGAGUACGGCGGAACACGUGAAAUUCCGUCGGAAUCCGGGAGGACCAUCUCCCAAGGCUAAAUACUCCCUAGUGACCGAUAGUGAACCAGUACCGUGAGGGAAAGGUGAAAAGCACCCCGGAAGGGGAGUGAAACAGUUCCUGAAACCGUGUGCCUACAAGUAGUUAGAGCCCGUUAAUGGGUGAUAGCGUGCCUUUUGUAGAAUGAACCGGCGAGUUACGAUUUGUUGCAAGGUUAAGCGGAAAAAGCGGAGCCGUAGCGAAAGCGAGUCUGAAUAGGGCGCAUAAGUAACAGGUCGUAGACCCGAAACCAGGUGAUCUACCCAUGUCCAGGAUGAAGGUAAGGUAAUACUUACUGGAGGUCCGAACCCACGCACGUUGAAAAGUGCGGGGAUGAGGUGUGGGUAGCGGAGAAAUUCCAAUCGAACUUGGAGAUAGCUGGUUCUCUCCGAAAUAGCUUUAGGGCUAGCCUCGAGGUAAAGAGUCAUGGAGGUAGAGCACUGUUUGGACUAGGGGCCCUUCUCGGGUUACCGAAUUCAGAUAAACUCCGAAUGCCAUGUACUUAUACUCGGGAGUCAGACUGCGAGUGAUAAGAUCCGUAGUCGAAAGGGAAACAGCCCAGACC